rnacentral:tRNA from 1 species
GGGGUUAUAGCUCAGUGGUAGAGCACUUGCCUCACAAAUAUGACGCACUGGAUUCAAUCCUUAGCACCA